AAAGAAUUCUUAAACACGUAUAGUAAAGCAUCAGCAAAAGUGCCGAGUUAGCUAGUCAGUGUGGUAAGAACUGAACGAUUUUUCGGUGCGGAAAGAAAUCUGUGCCGGUGAGAAAUGCACCAUGAGCAAACACUUACAUAAACUGGUUCUUCUUAACUGGUGG
ensembl:ncRNA F26F12.18 ncRNA